rnacentral:rRNA from 1 species
AGUGAACGCUGGCGGUAGGCCUAACACAUGCAAGUCGAACGGCAGCACAGUAAGAGCUUGCUCUUACGGGUGGCGAGUGGCGGACGGGUGAGGAAUACAUCGGAAUCUACUUUUUCGUGGGGGAUAACGUAGGGAAACUUACGCUAAUACCGCAUACGACCUACGGGUGAAAGCAGGGGAUCUUCGGACCUUGCGCGAUUGAAUGAGCCGAUGUCGGAUUAGCUAGUUGGCGGGGUAAAGGCCCACCAAGGCGACGAUCCGUAGCCGGUCUGAGAGGAUGAUCAGCCACACUGGAACUGAGACACGGUCCAGACUCCUACGGGAGGCAGCAGUGGGGAAUAUUGGACAAUGGGCGCAAGCCUGAUCCAACCAUACCGCGUGGGUGAAGAAGGCCUUCGGGUUGUAAAGCCCUUUUGUUGGGAAAGAAAAGCAGCAGGUUAAUACCCCGCUGUUCUGACGGUACCCAAAGAAUAAGCACCGGCUAACUUCGUG